GGUCUGUUGGUGAAGCGGUCUAACACAUUGCCCUCUCAAGGCAACAUACACGGGUUCAAAUCCCGUACAGACUACCA
rnacentral:tRNA from 1 species